rnacentral:lncRNA from 1 species
GAGUGAAGGCAGGCUGGACUCGCGGGCUCAAGCUGGGAAGGAGCAUGCGCGGAGAGAGCAGCCUGGGCGCCGAGGCAGCGGGGUGCUCGGUUCCCGGAGUGAUGGCGGAUGAGGCUGCCUGUGAGCGUGUCCGAGGCGGUCCUGUGAUGUUAAAGCAGCAAUGCCUUCCUCGGCCGUGGCGGUGGGUUACAAGUGAAGCUGAAUCUUGAAGGUACCCAAGCCUCCGCCUCCGCGCAACUCGGCAGCGGCAGGGAAAGAGAAGGAAUCAAUAACUCUCUAGGUAACUUGAAAUCAGACAUUUUUAACUACAUUUGCAACUUCAGAAAUGAUACAAGAUGUGCGCCUUGCAAAAGCCAAUUCAAACAGUACAGAAGGGCAUAAAGUAAAAAGAAAAACUGCUCCUCCCCGCAAAGCCCUGCCCCAGUAGCGUGUAUACUUUCCUAAUAUUAGUCUAUGCACAAGCACAUAAAUGAAUAUUUU